rnacentral:rRNA from 1 species
UACGGAGGGAGCUAGCGUUGUUCGGAAUUACUGGGCGUAAAGCGCACGUAGGCGGCUUUGUAAGUUAGAGGUGAAAGCCCGGGGCUCAACCCCGGAAUUGCCUUUAAGACUGCAUCGCUUGAAUCCGGGAGAGGUGAGUGGAAUCCCGAGUGUAGAGGUGAAAUUCGUAGAUAUUCGGAAGAACACCAGUGGCGAAGGCGGCUCACUGGACCGGGUAUUGACGCUGGAGGUGCGAAAGCGUGGGGAGCAAACAGG